AUUGAACGCUGGCGGCAUGCUUUACACAUGCAAGUCGGACGGCAGCACAGAGAAGCUUGCUUCUCGGGUGGCGAGUGGCGAACGGGUGAGUAACAUAUCGGAACGUACCGAGCAGUGGGGGAUAACUAAUCGAAAGAUUAGCUAAUACCGCAUAUUUUCUGAGGAAGAAAGCAGGGGACCUUUGGGCCUUGCGCUGUUUGAGCGGCCGAUAUCUGAUUAGCUAGUUGGUGGGGUAAAGGCCUACCAAGGCGACGAUCAGUAGCGGGUCUGAGAGGAUGAUCCGCCACACUGGGACUGAGACACGGCCCAGACUCCUACGGGAGGCAGCAGUGGGGAAUUUUGGACAAUGGGCGCAAGCCUGAUCCAGCCAUGCCGCGUGUCUGAAGAAGGCCUUCGGGUUGUAAAGGACUUUUGUCAGGGAAGAAAAGGGCGGGGCUAAUACCCCUGUCUGAUGACGGUACCUGAAGAAUAAGCACCGGCUAACUACGUG
rnacentral:rRNA from 1 species